CCCACUAUUUGUCAUAAAACAAGAGUGGGAAUAAAUGCGCAUGCGUGGUGUGCACUUUUAAAAUUCGGUGAGCUUCGGUUAAAAAGAAAAGAAGAGCAAUUAAAAAAAAAAAGAAAGAAGACAUGACAGGAAAAAAAUAUGUCGUCACCUGUCAAAACUUGACAGCAGCAUCUGGUUCAAUUCAAUUUCAUCCCGUAUUUAUAAUUUAUUUAGUGUGAUUUAGUGUAAAAAAAUAUUGUUUAUCAUUUUGUUGGUUAUGUUGUGUAAAUACACAACUGUCAAAAUAAAAUAUAAUUUUAUUCCUGGUUCUGAUACAAUUAUUUAAUGCUGGUGCAUUCAGUGGUAUAUUUACAACAGUAUAUUGGCACCUGGUGAAAGAAUCAAACGUUUAUUACAAGUUCAACACAAUCAAGGAACCUCAACUUACAAUGGACCUGUUGAUUGUGCAAAAAAAUUGUAUAAACAAGGUGGUAUACGUAGUAUAUACAAAAGAACUGGACUAAUAUUAUUAAGAGAUAUACCAACAAUAUUUGCUGGUGGAUGUGCUGGUAUUACAAAUUGGAUUGUUGCUAUGCCACCUGAUGUUUUAAAGAGUCGAUUCCAAGCUGCACCUGAAGGAACAUACAAGUUAUUGAUAAUGAUGAAUAAAAC